UCAGUCGAUCCUACGGGAGGCAGCAGUGGGGAAUAUUGCACAAUGGGCGCAAGCCUGAUGCAGCCAUGCCGCGUGUGUGAAGAAGGCCUUCGGGUUGUAAAGCACUUUCAGUCGUGAGGAAGGUAGUGUAGUUAAUAGCUGCAUUAUUUGACGUUAGCGACAGAAGAAGCACCGGCUAACUCCGUGCCAGCAGCCGCGGUAAUACGGAGGGUGCGAGCGUUAAUCGGAAUUACUGGGCGUAAAGCGCAUGCAGGUGGUUUGUUAAGUCAGAUGUGAAAGCCCCGGGGCUCAACCUCGGAAUUGCAUUUGAAACUGGCAGACUAGAGUACUGUAGAGGGGGUAGAAUUUCAGGUGUAGCGGUGAAAUGCGUAGAGAUCUGAAGGAAUACCGGUGGCGAAGGCGGCCCCCUGGACAGAUACUGACACUCAGAUGCGAAAGCGUGGGGAGCAAACAGGAUUAGAUACCCUGGUAG
rnacentral:rRNA from 1 species